rnacentral:rRNA from 1 species
CGGGGGGAGCAAGCGUUGUUCGGAUUUACUGGGCGUAAAGGGCGCGUAGGCGGCCACCGCAAGUCGACCGUGAAAUCUCCGGGCUUAACCCGGAAAGGUCAGCCGAUACUGCGGGGCUAGAGUGCAGAAGGGGCAACUGGAAUUCUCGGUGUAGCGGUGAAAUGCGUAGAUAUCGAGAGGAACACCUGCGGCGAAGGCGGGUUGCUGGGCUGACACUGACGCUGAUGCGCGAAAGCUAGGGGAGCGAACGGGAUUAGAUACCCCGGUAGUCCUAGCCUUAAACGAUGAAUGCUUGGUGUCUGGGGUUUUAUAGUCCCCGGGUGCCGUCGCUAACGCUUUAAGCAUUCCGCCUGGGGAGUACGGUCGCAAGACUG